rnacentral:rRNA from 1 species
AUUGAACGCUGGCGGCGUGCCUUACACAUGCAAGUCGAACGGUAACAGGUCUUCGGAUGCUGACGAGUGGCGAACGGGUGAGUAAUACAUCGGAACGUGCCUAGUAGUGGGGGAUAACUACUCGAAAGAGUGGCUAAUACCGCAUGAGAUCUACGGAUGAAAGCAGGGGAUCGCAAGACCUUGUGCUACUAGAGCGGCCGAUGGCAGAUUAGGUAGUUGGUGGGAUAAAAGCUUACCAAGCCGACGAUCUGUAGCUGGUCUGAGAGGACGAUCAGCUACACUGGGACUGAGACACGGCCCAGACUCCUACGGGAGGCAGCAGUGGGGAAUUUUGGACAAUGGGCGCAAGCCUGAUCCAGCAAUGCCGCGUGCAGGAUGAAGGCCUUCGGGUUGUAAACUGCUUUUGUACGGAACGAAAAGCCCUGGGUUAAUACCCUGGGGUCAUGACGGUACCGUAAGAAUAAGCACCGGCUAACUACGUGCCAGCAGCCGCGGUAACAC